rnacentral:rRNA from 1 species
UACGAAGGGGGCUAGCGUUGUUCGGAAUUACUGGGCGUAAAGCGCGCGUAGGCGGCGACCUUUGUCAGAGGUGAAAUCCCGAGGCUCAACUUCGGAAUUGCCUUUGAAACGGGGUUGCUUGAGUCCGAGAGAGGAUGGCGGAAUUCCUAGUGUAGAGGUGAAAUUCGUAGAUAUUAGGAAGAACACCGGUGGCGAAGGCGGCCAUCUGGCUCGGUACUGACGCUUAGGCGCGAAAGCCAGGGGAGCGAACGGG